AGCGUACACGGUGGAUGCCCUGGCAGUCAGAGGCGAUGAAGGACGUGCUAAUCUGCGAUAAGCGUCGGUGAGGUGAUAUGAACCGUUAUAACCGGCGAUUUCCGAAUGGGGAAACCCAGUGUGUUUCGACACACUAUCAUUAACUGAAUCCAUAGGUUAAUGAGGCGAACCGGGGGAACUGAAACAUCUAAGUACCCCGAGGAAAAGAAAUCAACCGAGAUUCCCCCAGUAGCGGCGAGCGAACGGGGAGGAGCCCAGAGCCUGAAUCAGUGUGUGUGUUAGUGGAAGCGUCUGGAAAGGCGUGCGAUACAGGGUGACAGCCCCGUACACAAAAAUGCACAUAUUGUGAGCUCGAUGAGUAGGGCGGGACACGUGGUAUCCUGUCUGAAUAUGGGGGGACCAUCCUCCAAGGCUAAAUACUCCUGACUGACCGAUAGUGAACCAGUACCGUGAGGGAAAGGCGAAAAGAACCCCGGCGAGGGGAGUGAAAAAGAACCUGAAACCGUGUACGUACAAGCAGUGGGAGCCUCUUAAUGGGGUGACUGCGUACCUUUUGUAUAAUGGGUCAGCGACUUAUAUUCUGUAGCAAGGUUAACCGAAUAGGGGAGCCGAAGGGAAACCGAGUCUUAACUGGGCGUUAAGUUGCAGGGUAUAGACCCGAAACCCGGUGAUCUAGCCAUGGGCAGGUUGAAGGUUGGGUAACACUAACUGGAGGACCGAACCGACUAAUGUUGAAAAAUUAGCGGAUGACUUGUGGCUGGGGGUGAAAGGCCAAUCAAACCGGGAGAUAGCUGGUUCUCCCCGAAAGCUAUUUAGGUAGCGCCUCGUGAAUUCAUCUCCGGGGGUAGAGCACUGUUUCGGCAAGGGGGUCAUCCCGACUUACCAACCCGAUGCAAACUGCGAAUACCGGAGAAUGUUAUCACGGGAGACACACGGCGGGUGCUAACGUCCGUCGUGAAGAGGGAAACAACCCAGACCGCCAGCUAAGGUCCCAAAGUCAUGGUUAAGUGGGAAACGAUGUGGGAAGGCCCAGACAGCCAGGAUGUUGGCUUAGAAGCAGCCAUCAUUUAAAGAAAGCGUAAUAGCUCACUGGUCGAGUCGGCCUGCGCGGAAGAUGUAACGGGGCUAAACCAUGCACCGAAGCUGCGGCAGCGACACUAUGUGUUGUUGGGUAGGGGAGCGUUCUGUAAGCCUGUGAAGGUGUACUGUGAGGUAUGCUGGAGGUAUCAGAAGUGCGAAUGCUGACAUAAGUAACGAUAAAGCGGGUGAAAAGCCCGCUCGCCGGAAGACCAAGGGUUCCUGUCCAACGUUAAUCGGGGCAGGGUGAGUCGACCCCUAAGGCGAGGCCGAAAGGCGUAGUCGAUGGGAAACAGGUUAAUAUUCCUGUACUUGGUGUUACUGCGAAGGGGGGACGGAGAAGGCUAUGUUGGCCGGGCGACGGUUGUCCCGGUUUAAGCGUGUAGGCUGGUUUUCCAGGCAAAUCCGGAAAAUCAAGGCUGAGGCGUGAUGACGAGGCACUACGGUGCUGAAGCGACAAAUGCCCUGCUUCCAGGAAAAGCCUCUAAGCAUCAGGUAACAUCAAAUCGUACCCCAAACCGACACAGGUGGUCAGGUAGAGAAUACCAAGGCGCUUGAGAGAACUCGGGUGAAGGAACUAGGCAAAAUGGUGCCGUAACUUCGGGAGAAGGCACGCUGAUAUGUAGGUGAAGCGACUUGCUCGUGGAGCUGAAAUCAGUCGAAGAUACCAGCUGGCUGCAACUGUUUAUUAAAAACACAGCACUGUGCAAACACGAAAGUGGACGUAUACGGUGUGACGCCUGCCCGGUGCCGGAAGGUUAAUUGAUGGGGUUAGCGGUAACGCGAAGCUCUUGAUCGAAGCCCCGGUAAACGGCGGCCGUAACUAUAACGGUCCUAAGGUAGCGAAAUUCCUUGUCGGGUAAGUUCCGACCUGCACGAAUGGCGUAAUGAUGGCCAGGCUGUCUCCACCCGAGACUCAGUGAAAUUGAACUCGCUGUGAAGAUGCAGUGUACCCGCGGCAAGACGGAAAGACCCCGUGAACCUUUACUAUAGCUUGACACUGAACAUUGAGCCUUGAUGUGUAGGAUAGGUGGGAGGCUUUGAAGUGUGGACGCCAGUCUGCAUGGAGCCGACCUUGAAAUACCACCCUUUAAUGUUUGAUGUUCUAACGUGGGCCCCUUACCGGGGUUGCGGACAGUGUCUGGUGGGUAGUUUGACUGGGGCGGUCUCCUCCUAAAGAGUAACGGAGGAGCACGAAGGUUGGCUAAUCCUGGUCGGACAUCAGGAGGUUAGUGCAAUGGCAUAAGCCAGCUUGACUGCGAGCGUGACGGCGCGAGCAGGUGCGAAAGCAGGUCAUAGUGAUCCGGUGGUUCUGAAUGGAAGGGCCAUCGCUCAACGGAUAAAAGGUACUCCGGGGAUAACAGGCUGAUACCGCCCAAGAGUUCAUAUCGACGGCGGUGUUUGGCACCUCGAUGUCGGCUCAUCACAUCCUGGGGCUGAAGUAGGUCCCAAGGGUAUGGCUGUUCGCCAUUUAAAGUGGUACGCGAGCUGGGUUUAGAACGUCGUGAGACAGUUCGGUCCCUAUCUGCCGUGGGCGCUGGAGAACUGAGGGGGGCUGCUCCUAGUACGAGAGGACCGGAGUGGACGCAUCACUGGUGUUCGGGUUGUCAUGCCAAUGGCACUGCCCGGUAGCUAAAUGCGGAAGAGAUAAGUGCUGAAAGCAUCUAAGCACGAAACUUGCCCCGAGAUGAGUUCU
rnacentral:rRNA from 1 species